rnacentral:rRNA from 1 species
UAUAUGAUAACACGUGUGAAAUGCAGAAUACCGUGAACCACAGAGUCUUUGAACGCAAGUUGCGCCCGAAGCCACUAGGCUGAGGGCACGUCUGCCUGGGUGUCA